UGGCUCAGAUGGUAAAGCAUCUGCCUAAAAUGCGGGAGACCCAGGUUCGAUCCCUGG
rnacentral:tRNA from 1 species